GACGAACGCUGGCGGCGUGCCUAAUACAUGCAAGUAGAACGCACAGUUUAUACCGUAGCUUGCUACACCAUAAACUGUGAGUUGCGAACGGGUGAGUAACGCGUAGGUAACCUGCCUGGUAGCGGGGGAUAACUAUUGGAAACGAUAGCUAAUACCGCAUAAUAUUGAUUAUUGCAUGAUAAUUGAUUGAAAGAUGCUAUUGCAUCACUACCAGAUGGACCUGCGUUGUAUUAGCUAGUAGGUGAGGUAACGGCUCACCUAGGCGACGAUACAUAGCCGACCUGAGAGGGUGAUCGGCCACACUGGGACUGAGACACGGCCCAGACUCCUACGGGAGGCAGCAGUAGGGAAUCUUCGGCAAUGGACGAAAGUCUGACCGAGCAACGCCGCGGGAGUGAAGAAGGUUUUCGGAUCGUAAAGCUCUGUUGUAAGAGAAGAACGGGUGUGAGAGUGGAAAGUUCACACUGUGACGGUAGCUUACCAGAAAGGGACGGCUAACUACGUG
rnacentral:rRNA from 1 species